UACGUAGGGGCCUAGCGUUGUCCGGAAUUAUUGGGCGUAAAGAGCUUGUAGGUGGCUCGUUGCGUCGGGAGUGAAAACCUGCGGCUUAACCGCAGGCCUGCUUCCGAUACGGGCGAGCUAGAGUUCGGCAGGGGAGACUGGAAUUCCUGGUGUAGCGGUGGAAUGCGCAGAUAUCAGGAGGAACACCGGUGGCGAAGGCGGAUCUCUGGGCCAUUACUGACGCUGAGGAGCGAAAGCGUGGGGAGCGAACAGG
rnacentral:rRNA from 1 species